rnacentral:tRNA from 1 species
GGCGGGGUAGCUCAGCUGGUUAGAGCGUCGGAAUCAUAAUCCGUAGGUCGUGGGUUCGAAUCCCUCCCCCGCUACAA